CGGUAACAGAGUUUGGAAUGGAGCCUAUGGGAAGUGGGGAGGCAGUGGCUGUCUGUGAGGGUCUGCGGCAGCUGCCUAGAGAAGGGGGGACAUGGCUCAGGCAGGGAGCACGGAGACUACAUGCACGACCAUGCAAGAGGGGUGGCUUACACAGCUGAAGAACUUGUAAAAAUGCCUCCUGUGCCAUGUUUUUGCUCCAGGUGUCUGCCCCGGUCAGUGUGCCACAGGCAUUGCUCUGGGCUCUCCCCACCUCCACUUCACCUCCUGCUACCCCCUCCACCUCGCCUACCAAGUGCAGGGUGUUGUGGGUGUUCCCUGGGACUCCCUCCCGCCUCCCCCUCCCCACCGAACUCCUCACCGUCCACUGCUCCCCAGCCCAGCACAGCUGAUCAGUUCCAUGUGAAGUCUGCGUAGGGUGCACACACUGAGCCUGAACCUGAAUGAGAGACUUUGCCGGAGGCACCCACGUCCACACCAGUCCAGAUGCCCAAGCACUGGCACUCAGAAGAGCCAGGGCAGCUGCAGUGGGAGAAGUGGCCAGUGCUGGGUGCCCACCAAGGCCUUGAAGGCAGCCCAGAUCAGGGCACCACCACAGCAUGGCUUGAUGAGUGGUGUAUAGGUCUGUGCCCAGGAUCCAAACCUGCAAAACCAGGGCCGCCAAAGGGGAGCACCUGAACCUAACCACCAUGCCACCAGGCUGGCCCCUAAAAUUCACUCUUUUUAAAUGUACAGUUCCGUCUGUUUUGACAAAUAUAAGUACAAGUGUAACCACCACCAGAAUCAUGAUAUGGGAUAUUUCUAUCACCCUCAAAAGUUCCUCUGUGCCCUGCUCCCAACUCUUGGCAACCACUGAUCUGAUUUCUGUUGCUUUUUCUAGAAUGGCACAUAAAUGGAACAGCUUUCUAAGACUGGUUUCUUUCACUCAAGGUAAAGCUUUUGAGAUUCACCCGCGCUGAUGUGUGUGUCAGCAGUUUCUUUCCUUGCAUUGCCGAGUUGUCUCCACGGUAUGGAUGCACCACAACUUGUUAUCUAUUCAUCACUUCCUGGCUAUUAUUAAAUAAAGCUGCUAGAACAGUGCUGUAC
rnacentral:lncRNA from 1 species